rnacentral:lncRNA from 1 species
AGCCUGGUCGGGACGUGUCACACGCGUGGACUCACACCCGUGUGGCCUCCUGUGUCUGGUCCCCUCCCUGCGCGUUGUGGACUCGGGGCCGUCCCCGGACAAACCAUCCUGCUGAACCCUCCCCAACUCCCUGGUCUACAAGCAGGAGUAGAACACAUGGUUGCAUCAAACUGGUGAGUUUGGGAUUCUUUGUCAGGCAGCCCCCCACGGAGCUCGCCCCUCUCCCCUGUCCUGGUUUCCUAGGUCGUCCCCACAGCAGACUGGGCAGGGAUGCCGUCCCAUCCCUGCCGCGCCUCUGUGGGCCACCCAGUCUGGUCUGGAACCCCCGACGGACCCAGCUGCAAAGCCCAGCCCUCCUCAGCUCUCCUGAGAAACCACACAGGAUGGUCCCUGCCGUCCCCACGGAGAAACCCAGGCCUCCAGGUCCGUUUCUCCCCACUCCCGAGCCUGGCAUCCGAGCCCACGGACGGGCCGGGACCCCCCCCCCGACCCCCAGGGCCGGACUCACAGGACCUGCCGAAGCCCCCCUACAGUUCUCCGGACAUCGUCAUCGACACCCCCAGCGCAGACGCCGUGCGUGGAAACCUUUCAUUCGCUGGUGAAUUAUUCAAGACCCACAGCACAAAUGUCCUUUAUGGGUUUUCCUUCUGGGAAGUCAAGAGUUCUGAAUCUCCGGCAAAUACGUGCUUUUAUUCCAGAAAGAAAGGCAGAAGGGAGGGAGGGGGGUCAGGAGGGAAGGACAGACAGACAGGCAGGCGGGGACAGUGUUCUGAGAGGCCAGGAACGAAGCGGCCGCCCCUCAUAGCCCCACGGCUCUGGCCGCGUACCCCGCUUCUCCGUGCGUGGGCCAGGCACGCGACCUCUCCGUGCCCCGGUUUCCCCAUCGCUCCCCUCCCCACUGGCGGUGCCCCCAGUACCCCGCUCCGGCCCAAAUGCAGGGCGAGGGGCUCUCCUUGCCUCACUUCAGGGUGGGGGUCCCAGAGACACACCCCCCCCGGGGCCACUGGGCACCACGGGUGAGAACCUCACCCGCAGAGAGAAAAGUGUGGGAGACAGGGACGCCCCUGCCCGGGCCUAGGACACCCCUAUGCCACUGUCCACUGGGCUGGGCAGCAG